GGUGCUCGAGUGGCGAACGGGUGAGUAACACGUGAGUAACCUGCCCUUGACUUUGGGAUAACUUCAGGAAACUGGGGCUAAUACCGGAUAGGAGCUCCUGCUGCAUGGUGGGGGUUGGAAAGUUUCGGCGGUUGGGGAUGGACUCGCGGCUUAUCAGCUUGUUGGUGGGGUAGUGGCUUACCAAGGCUUUGACGGGUAGCCGGCCUGAGAGGGUGACCGGCCACAUUGGGACUGAGAUACGACCCAG
rnacentral:rRNA from 1 species